CCCUUAGAUGUUCUGGGCCGCACGCGCGCUACACUGAUGCAUUCAACGAGUUUCUUCCUGGUCCGAGAGGAAUGGGUAACCUUUUGAAAGUGCAUCGUGAUAGGGAUAGACUAUUGCAAUUAUUGGUCUUCAACGAGGAAUGCCUAGUAGGCGCAAGUCAUCAGCUUGCGUCGAUUACGUCCCUGCCCUUUGUACACACCGCCCGUCGCUCCUACCGAUUGGGUGUGCUGGUGAAAUGUUCGGAUCGGCCGUUUGUCGCGGUUUCCGCGUCAUGUGGCUGAGAAGUUCAUUAAACCCUCCCACCUAGAGGAAGGAGAAGUCGUAACA
rnacentral:rRNA from 1 species